rnacentral:rRNA from 1 species
CAGUCGCCACGGGAAUACGUAGGGUGCAAGCGUUAAUCGGAAUUACUGGGCGUAAAGCGUGCGCAGGCGGUUCUAUAAGACAGAUGUGAAAUCCCCUGGCUCAACCUGGGAACUGCAUUUGUGACUGUAGAGCUCGAGUACGGUAGAGGGGGAUGGAAUUCCGCGUGUAGCAGUGAAAUGCGUAGAUAUGCGGAGGAACACCGAUGGCAAAGGCAAUCCCCUGGACCUGUACUGACGCUCAUGCACGAAAGCGUGGGGAGCAAACAGGAUUAGGUACCCCAGUAGUCCCUGUCUCUUAUAC